AGCGAACGCUGGCGGCAGGCUUAACACAUGCAAGUCGAACGAACUCUUCGGAGUUAGUGGCGGACGGGUGAGUAACACGUGGGAACGUGCCUUUUGGUUCGGAAUAACUCAGGGAAACUUGUGCUAAUACCGAAUGUGCCCUUCGGGGGUAAGAUUUAUCGCCAUUGGAGCGGCCCGGGUCUGAUUAGCUAGUUGGUGAGGUAACGGCUCACCAAGGCGACGAUCAGUAGCUGGUCUGAGAGGAUGACUAGCCACACUGGCACUGAGACACGGCCCAGACUCCUACGGGAGGCAGCAGUGGGGAAUCUUGCGCAAUGGGCGAAAGCCUGACGCAGCCAUGCCGCGUGAAUGAUGAAGGUCUUAGGAUUGUAAAAUUCUUUCACCGGGGACGACAAUGACGGUACCCGGAGAAGAAGCCCCGGCUAACUUCGUG
rnacentral:rRNA from 1 species